rnacentral:rRNA from 2 species
AGUUCUGAUUAUUGAAAGGUGCUUGCAUCUUGAUUUAAUUUUGAACGAGUGGCGGACGGGUGAGUAACACGUGGGUAACCUGCCCUUAAGUGGGGGAUAACAUUUGGAAACAGAUGCUAAUACCGCAUAAAUCCAAGAACCGCAUGGUUCUUGGCUGAAAGAUGGCGUAAGCUAUCGCUUUUGGAUGGACCCGCGGCGUAUUAGCUAGUUGGUGAGGUAACGGCUCACCAAGGCAAUGAUACGUAGCCGAACUGAGAGGUUGAUCGGCCACAUUGGGACUGAGACACGGCCCAAACUCCUACGGGAGGCAGCAGUAGGGAAUCUUCCACAAUGGACGCAAGUCUGAUGGAGCAACGCCGCGUGAGUGAAGAAGGCUUUCGGGUCGUAAAACUCUGUUGUUGGAGAAGAAUGGUCGGCAGAGUAACUGUUGUCGGCGUGACGGUAUCCAACCAGAAAGCCACGGCUAACUACGUGCCAGCAGCCGCGGUAAUACGUAGGUGGCAAGCGUUAUCCGGAUUUAUUGGGCGUAAAGCGAGCGCAGGCGGUUUUUUAAGUCUGAUGUGAAAGCCCUCGGCUUAACCGAGGAAGUGCAUCGGAAACUGGGAAACUUGAGUGCAGAAGAGGACAGUGGAACUCCAUGUGUAGCGGUGAAAUGCGUAGAUAUAUGGAAGAACACCAGUGGCGAAGGCGGCUGUCUGGUCUGUAACUGACGCUGAGGCUCGAAAGCAUGGGUAGCGAACAGGAUUAGAUACCCUGGUAGUCCAUGCCGUAAACGAUGAAUGCUAGGUGUUGGAGGGUUUCCGCCCUUCAGUGCCGCAGCUAACGCAUUAAGCAUUCCGCCUGGGGAGUACGACCGCAAGGUUGAAACUCAAAGGAAUUGACGGGGGCCCGCACAAGCGGUGGAGCAUGUGGUUUAAUUCGAAGCAACGCGAAGAACCUUACCAGGUCUUGACAUCUUUUGAUCACCUGAGAGAUCAGGUUUCCCCUUCGGGGGCAAAAUGACAGGUGGUGCAUGGUUGUCGUCAGCUCGUGUCGUGAGAUGUUGGGUUAAGUCCCGCAACGAGCGCAACCCUUAUGACUAGUUGCCAGCAUUUAGUUGGGCACUCUAGUAAGACUGCCGGUGACAAACCGGAGGAAGGUGGGGAUGACGUCAAAUCAUCAUGCCCCUUAUGACCUGGGCUACACACGUGCUACAAUGGAUGGUACAACGAGUUGCGAGACCGCGAGGUCAAGCUAAUCUCUUAAAGCCAUUCUCAGUUCGGACUGUAGGCUGCAACUCGCCUACACGAAGUCGGAAUCGCUAGUAAUCGCGGAUCAGCACGCCGCGGUGAAUACGUUCCCGGGCCUUGUACACACCGCCCGUCACACCAUGAGAGUUUGUAACACCCGAAGCCGGUGGCGUA